UCCUUCGAACACGUUCAAGUCCCUCAGGGAGUCAGAUCACGUUGACUGGAAUGAGUCACUCGGCUGGAAACAUCCCUUCCGAGGCAGCUCCGGGUGGGCACGUUUAGUCCUAGGCGCGGAACGGGACUGCAGCGAACAGACUGAGCAGCCUGGGAGCAGGGUCACUGAAUACCUCCAGGAGUGACUCUGAGCACAGGGCCUGGAGUGGCCCAUGAACGCUGCCAGGUGUGGUGCCACCUGCUCCCCUCUAAGCCAACAGAAGUUCUCCAGAGACACAGCACAGCGGGACCCCCUACAUGGCCGCCUCCUCCUCCUCUCGCGAGUUGUGCAAAGAAGGCUGCACCUGAUUCAAUAUUGGGAUUUCCUGUUGGUCUGUCAACAUGCCGGAGCCCUCCUCCCAUCACCUGCUCCUCGGGCCGGGCGCGCUGGACCCCGUGCCCCUCAGCCAGGCAAUCCAGACCAGGGCUAGGUAGGAGGAGGGCCGGCCGGGGCUGUGUCUAGCUCAGGGCCGGCUGCCCGAAGCCUUAAAUGGACACCCUGUCUUCUCCCCGUGGGUCCAUUUCUCCUUUGCUGAGGGCCAGCCAGGAUCGUGCCCGUUUGCACGAAGUUCUGUGAACAGUCCCCGAAAACCCAGCACCCCACCCCCUCCCCCCUGGCUCCGUCCCGCUCCUCCCCUUCUGGGAAGGCUCCACUCUUCUCGACAAAGGUCAGUGCCUGGAGGUUCCAGUUGGCCGGCCCCUCCCCCAGUGCAGAGCCCAAGUCCUCUUUCCUGUCCUUCCCUACCGCCCCCUUCACCCCAGACCCUGCUGGUCACUUACCAGGGGG